rnacentral:lncRNA from 1 species
UUGGGUCGAUCAAGGAAGGAGCUAGGUCCCGUGGAAGAGGGACUAGGCUUGGCUGGGGAUAGACUGGGGGGCCCUGUGGUGGCAUCUGAUGAUAUAGUGGGGGGUACCGGGCAGUACGGUGGCUGGGGCACCGGUUCAUACUGCGGCGGUGGUGCCGGGUGGUACUGUAGUGGAGCAGGCUCGUGCCGGGAUGGCUCGGGAUCCGUUUUUUGUAGCGGUGGCUCAACCUGUGGUAGUGGGGGAGGAUUCAGGUAACUCCCUUCUCUCCUCUCGACCUUGCUGGGCGACCAUGAUCCUUUCCAGCAUCUCAGAUAUUCUGUCCACAUCUUCCCGAAGCGAAUCAUCCCGGGCUGCUUGGUUUAGUAGGGGUCUUCCUCUCCUCAUUUCUCUGCACCUGCAUUUCAUAAGGAAGAGUUGAGUAACGAUUUAUCGGUGGGUAUUUCUCUAAGCAUUAUUGUGUAAGGGAUGAGUCUGAGGAACGCAGC